GACGAACGCUGGCGGCGUGCUUAACACAUGCAAGUCGAGCGGUAAGGCCCUUUCGGGGGUACGACGAGCGGCGAACGGGUGAGUAACACGUGGGUGACCUGCCCUCAGCUCUGGGAUAAGCCUGGGAAACCGGGUCUAAUACCGGAUAUGACUCCAUGACGCAUGUUGUGGGGUGGAAAGCCUUGUGCGGCUGAGGAUGGGCCCGCGGCCUAUCAGCUUGUUGGUGGGGUGAUGGCCUACCAAGGCGACGACGGGUAGCCGGCCUGAGAGGGCGACCGGCCACACUGGGACUGAGACACGGCCCAGACUCCUACGGGAGGCAGCAGUGGGGAAUCUUGCGCAAUGGGCGAAAGCCUGACGCAGCGACGCCGCGUGAGGG
rnacentral:rRNA from 1 species